UACGUAGGGUGCAAGCGUUGUCCGGAAUUAUUGGGCGUAAAGAGCUUGUAGGCGGUUUGUCGCGUCUGCUGUGAAAUUUCGGGGCUCAACCCCGAACUUGCAGUGGGUACGGGCAGACUAGAGUGUGGUAGGGGAGACUGGAAUUCUCGGUGUAGCGGUGAAAUGCGUAGAUAUCGAGAGGAACACCUGCGGCGAAGGCGGGUUGCUGGGCUGACACUGACGCUGAGGAGCGAAAGCGUGGGGAGCGAACAGG
rnacentral:rRNA from 1 species